GACGAACGCUGGCGGCGUGCUUAACACAUGCAAGUCGAACGACGUGGCGCACGGGUGAGUAACGCGUAAUCAACCUGCCCUUCAGUGGGGGACCACAGUUGGAAACGACUGCUAAUACCGCAUACUGAAGGUGGGGUUUUCGUCUGCUUAUCUAGUUGGAGGGGUAACGGCCCACCAAGGCGAUGAUCAGUAGCCGGUCUGAGAGGAUGAACGGCCACAUUGGGACGGAGACACGGUCCAGACGCCUACGGGAGGCAGCAGUGGGGAAUAUUGGACAAUGGGCGAAAGCCUGAUGCAGCCAUGCAGCGUGUGUGAAGAAGGUCUUCGGAUUGUAAAGCACUUUAAGUUGGGAGGCGUUACCAACAGAAGAAGCACCGGCUAACUACGUGCCAGCCGCCGCGGUAAUUC
rnacentral:rRNA from 1 species